GGCUGGUCUGAUGAUAGUGGGUUAUCAGAACAUAUUAACACUAAUGUCACUGAAGUCAGUAUAUAAUCCCAUCACUGAUCAAUUUGAUUGGCCUAAA
ensembl:Y_RNA Y_RNA Y RNA